UACAGAGGGGGCAAGCGUUGUUCGGAAUUACUGGGCGUAAAGGGCGCGUAGGUGGCCUUCUAAGUCAUGCGUGAAAUCCCCGGGCUCAACCCGGGAACUGCGUCUGAUACUGGAAGGCUUGAAUCCGGGAGAGGGAUGCGGAAUUCCAGGUGUAGCGGUGAAAUGCGUAGAUAUCUGGAGGAACACCGGUGGCGAAGGCGGCAUCCUGGACCGGCAUUGACGCUGAGGCGCGAAAGCUAGGGGAGCAAACAGG
rnacentral:rRNA from 1 species